AUAACUAAUUAAUCAAGUUUUUAGCAUGUACUAGUAUAUAAAUAAGGUAAUGACUUUAUUCAAGCCGGCUGUAUUUUUGUUCGCUGGAACGGCUGGCUCUAUCCGUCACAGCCAUCACGUAAGAUCUUAUCCUUUCCAUCGUGAGGGGCCAGGCAUCUUCCUCUUCACCGCUGUUCACACAAACGCAUAUACACUGACAUCUUCAUUCUCCUGAGCCGCUUUCUCCCAAUCCUUCGAUUCGUUCGUCAAGCUCCGGUGGAAUCGUGGCCGGCGGCCGGCGACAAUGUAGGUUCUCCUCCUCCUCCUCCUCCUCCUCUCAGAUCGAGGCAUGAUUGGGUUAGGGUUCUGGAAUUUUGAGGCUGGGGGUUAGGGUUCAGGGAUUUUUGGCCGGAUAGCUGACGACGAGGCCGUGAGAAGCUGCUCCAAGAUCUACGUGGAAGCCUACACCUCCCUCCUCUCCCUUAGCUUCGACAUGGUGGCUGAGAAGCUGUAUAGCAAUGAGAGAUGGUGAAGGAGCAUGUGGACCAGGCGCCGCUUGAGCCCGCCGACACGGACGUCGCCUUCCUUGUGGUACACUGGGAAGGACAGAUUUGGUUACAUACAUACAUAUUCAAGCAUGUUGAGGUAAAGUACAAUUUCUACUAUGCAAAGCUACUACUCCAUUUAGGUAGAUAAUUGCUUUUUAGUAGGUAGUUCUUUCUUCAGUUAGUUGAAACCCUGUUUUAUAUGUAGACAAAUCUAUUUCUUCAGUUAUCCAAGUCCUAUUUUAUAAUGGAAGAUGAGACAAAUUAAUAAUUAUAUCAAGCUGGAUGCGUAUAGAGAUGACACAUUUGCAAAAUUUGAGGUAUAUUAUUCUUUAUGUUUUUUUCCAAAGCAUGCUGCAAUGCACUAUGAUUAGACAAUAAUCAUCUUUUCAAUUAGGCAGUACAACUGUAUCAUUAUGCAAUGCUACUAUUUGUGGCUUGAUUGGUGAUUUUCUGGACUAUAAGUUACUUGAUUAUUUUAGUGUACAAAUUAUCUAGAACUACUUUUUUUCAUGCUUAUACCAUUUAUAAAAUUAUUUUAGUAACAGAUGCUCUAUGCAAUCUUAAUAUAUGCAUGAUCUCGCUACAUGUUCCCCUUUUGCUAUGAGAGACAUUUUCGAUUGGCUAGUUCUAGCUGCUAUGUAGUUAGUAAUAAUACUCAUUUGUCGAAUUCACAUAAUUUAUGAUUCUCAAAAGCCAUUGUAAUCCAAUUGCCUGAAUGUAUAGAAUAGUUUCCUUUCCCAUAUUAUUCUGAAUACCGAAAACAAACAUAUUUUGCUGCUCCCAAAUUAAACCAUGAUAUUAAGUGAAUCCUAGAAUUUAGACAAUUUAACACAUACAUGUAAGCAUUUUUAUGUAAAUAAUUUUAGUUUGUGAAUCCCAUAAUACAGGCAACUUAGCAGACUCAUGCAAGUAUCUUUUAUAUCCAACAAGUAGGCAUGUAUAACUAUGCCAUGCAGUCUAGUUAUGUAUGUUCAAUUUAUACCUACCAUAUCCACCAUAUCCUUUUUAUUUUCUGAGCAGUAGUUUGUUCUGUUCAUUUUUUAGUGAAUGAGUAUAACCAUUAUUAUCAAAGUUUCGUAAGUAUUUGUUCUUGUCCAUUUAAAACUGAACUCCUUGCCUGAAGAAUUACUUGCUGAGGAGAACAUAGGUGAGAGUGAAGUAUGUGAAUCCCAUCUUACCAAUAACACAGCUCUUGGGUAAUAAUGGAGUUCUAGACUAUGCAAAACAAUAUACUUCAUAUGCAAUUUUCAUUGAGCAUUUCGUAGUUCCUUUUUGAUCGCUUGCCUACAGUUGUAGUUCUCUAGCUCGUGUACAACUUACCAAAACUGAGACAUGAUAUCGCUCUUUGAUUUGACCUAUUUUUCAAUCGCUAUAUGUUACCUGAUUAUUACUUUAUUUUUGCAGUUGCUAUUUGCUAGGAAAAAUAUGCUUGUAGCUGGUGCAAUCCUAACACACGUACUUUUAUUUUUAUGUUCUGAUUUAGUUUGUUGCUUGGUAUUUUUUUAUACACACAAAGCCAAUGAUGCAGCUAGCCCAUGCUUGCGUUUGGUGCUAGAGGAUCAGGCGUGAAGACUUUAUUUUUUAUAUAUUAAUGACAGUCCCUUGUUGUAAAUAUUUUUAUCCAUGUUCGAAUGUGCUCAUAAUUUAUAAAAACUUUGCUUCUGAGGUUCCUCAAAGUUGCUUAUUGUAUCCUUUGACUUGAAUUACCACCGUAUAGAAUGCUACAAAUUACGUGGUAUGGACCA